GCGUCAUUUCAACCCUCAAGCUCUGCUUGGUAUUGGGCCUUCGCCGGGUGACCGGCGGGCCUUAAAGUCAGUGGCGGCGCCGUUGGGUCCUGAACGUAGUAACAUACCUCUCGUUACAGGGUCCCCGCGUGCUUCUGCCAUUAAACCCCAAACUUUUUAUGGUUGACCUCGGAUCAGGUAGGGAUACCCGCUGAACUUAA
rnacentral:misc_RNA from 1 species